rnacentral:rRNA from 1 species
AUUGAACGCUGGCGGAAUGCUUACACAUGCAAGUCGAGCGGCAGCGCGGGGGCAACCCUGGCGGCGGAGUGGCGAACGGGUGAGUAACAUAUCGGAACGUACCCAGUCGUGGGGGAUAACUAUCCGAAAGGAUAGCUAAUACCGCAUACGUCCUGAGGGAGAAAGCGGGGGAUCGCAAGACCUCGCGCGAUUGGAGCGGCCGAUAUCGGAUUAGCUAGUUGGUGGGGUAAAGGCUCACCAAGGCGACGAUCCGUAGCGGGUCUGAGAGGACGACCCGCCACACUGGAACUGAGACACGGUCCAGACUCCUACGGGAGGCAGCAGUGGGGAAUUUUGGACAAUGGGGGCAACCCUGAUCCAGCCAUUCCGCGUGAGUGAAGAAGGCCUGG